CCUACGGGAGGCUGCAGUGGGGAAUAUUGGACAAUGGGGGCAACCCUGAUCCAGCCAUGCCGCGUGUGUGAAGAAGGCCCUCGGGUUGUAAAGCACUUUCAGUGAGGAAGAACGCCUGGUGGUUAAUACCCAUCAGGAAAGACAUCACUCACAGAAGAAGCACCGGCUAACUCCGUGCCAGCAGCCGCGGUAAUACGGAGGGUGCGAGCGUUAAUCGGAAUUACUGGGCGUAAAGCGCGCGUAGGUGGCUUGAUAAGCCGGUUGUGAAAGCCCCGGGCUCAACCUGGGAACGGCAUCCGGAACUGUCAAGCUAGAGUGCAGGAGAGGAAGGUAGAAUUCCCGGUGUAGCGGUGAAAUGCGUAGAGAUCGGGAGGAAUACCAGUGGCGAAGGCGGCCUUCUGGACUGACACUGACACUGAGGUGUGAAAGCGUGGGUAGCAAACAGGAUUAGAUACCCUAGUAGUC
rnacentral:rRNA from 1 species